GAUGAACGCUGGCGGCGUGCCUAACACAUGCAAGUCGAACGGAGAUUACGGACGGAAGUUUUCGGAUGGAAGACUGUAAUUCUUAGUGGCGGACGGGUGAGUAACGCGUGGGCAACCUGCACUAUACAGGGGGAUAGCAGCUGGAAACGGCUGGUAAGACCGAAUAAGUCGGCGAGACCGCAUGAUUUUGCCGGGAAAUGCGCAGUCAGGUAUAGGAUGGGCCCUAGUCCGAUUAGUCAGUAGGGAGGGUAAAAGCCUACCAAAGCAACGAUCGGUAGACGGGCUGAGAGGUCGGGCGGCCACAUUUGGGCUGGGACACAGCCCGGACUCCUACGGGAGGCAGCAGUGGGUGAUAGUGCACAAUGGAGUGAACUCUGAUGCAGCUACGCCGCGUGAGUGAAGAAGUAAUUCGGUAUGUAAAGCGCUAGCAGCAGGGAAGAUGAUGACGGUACCUGACCAAGAAGCCCCGGCUAACUACGUG
rnacentral:rRNA from 1 species